UUCUUCUCGUCCUUUCUCUAAACAAAAGAACGGUAUAUGUAUUUGAUUCGCUUAGGAGAUCAGAUAGAUCCUUAGCUAUCAAGGAACCGCUGCAUACUGCAUAUACAUCAUUCCUGCUCCUUGAAGGUAUCAAGGCAACAAAAUUGUCUUGGGUAUCUAUGAAGUGUGCUCAACAAACGGGAGGAGAUGAAUGCGGCUAUUUCGUUAUGAAAUACAUGUUUCAAAUCGUCCGCUUCCUCUAUCAGGCAAAUGAUUUGAAGAAGG